rnacentral:lncRNA from 1 species
GCGGAGCGGGCCGAGAGUCGCUAGCCCCGCUACUGUGUUUGCGAAGAGGAAAACGUCGCCUGGAGCUCGGGGGUGGCAAGGCUUUCGUCUGCGGCCCUGCCCCGCCGCUCGCGUCAGCCCCGGGCGGCAGGGCACUGCGGCUUCCCCCGGGCGGCCAGCGCGGCCCUGAUGCCUCGCCCCGCCCCGCCCCACCCCGGUGCUGCCUCGCUUCGCUGGGUGCAGUUUGGGUGCCACAGUGUGAGGAGGACAUAAAAUAUUAGCAUCCAAAAGGGCUAUGAAGAUGGUGAAGGGUCUGGAGAGGAAGAUGUGUGCAGAGCAACUGCUGUCCUUUGGUGCGCUCAGCCCAGAGCAGAGGAGUGCAGCUGUAUGCGUGGGCAGCUCUAGGCCUGAAGGCUCACAUGAAGUGAUGGGCUUUCUCCAGGGGUCAGCAAGGACUGGUGGCAGUGCUGCCCGGGCUGGGAUACUCGGUCUGGAGAAGCUAAGUAGCACACAUAGUAUGUCCGUGCUAAAAGGUCUCGCAGUGCUGAAAUCUGGCAUUCAAAUGCUGGUACUGAAGAAAUAACAAAGAAAGAAGAACACACAGAAAAGACACUCCGUCUUCCCAGUGGACACUUCUCCCUGCUUCCUGACGUCGGCCUGUUGGGUGUUUCAUACUCCAUAGCUCUGAAACAGGGUCCAUCCAUUGUCUGUGAUCCCUUUGAAGGUAUACUUUCUCCUCUGCCGUCUUCUGUGCAUCUGUGCUGCAUGGGUGUCUCUUUGCUCUAGCCUCGUUCAGGCAACUUUUCUUAUGCCUCCCUUUUUUCUCCAGCAUCCUCCUGCCCCUGCAUGUCUCCUGUCCUGGUACCUCUUCCCUGGGCCCUGGUUCUCUUUUACCCAUGUUCUUUUGGAUUUUUCCUUAAAAAGGUUAACAAAGGUUAACUAUGAUCUGUACAUCUAUUUUUUUCCACCUUAAGUAUUCAUAGAUGGAGUUGGAGUAUAUGCGAUGUUGUGCAUUGUAAAGCAUGCCAAGAAGCAUAUGUGGAAUGGAAAUUGUAUAAGUCACAAAGUAAAGGAUAAGAAUUUUAGAAUGUGGAAUAAUAUAAAUUCAUUAUAGAAGAGUCCAUGUGAACAUCUCUAUGCUUUUCAUGAAGUGUUUUGUAUAACAUGCAACUUGAGCUCAAAGAGUAUGGCACAGAAGUGAUAUCCUUCCAAGGGCAUAAAUCUCUGUAUGAUCAGUUUAUUUUCAUGUAGUAUUGUAAUAAACUCUUUGAAGCUGAAGAGAAACAGUGAAAUAAGUGAGUUAAUGGCCUUCAUGUGGCAUUUCUGAUAAUCAUUAACUGUGGUCUAAAGUGUUUCUCUUUAUUGCUCUCCACACACGUGAGCAAUUGUCCUUCUGAGAAUAGGUGCUUCUUA